GGGGGCUGUGAUUUGGAAGUAGCAUUCGUAUUUUCCUUUCUUUAAAGCAAGGCAGCUUCUUUGGGUCAAGCUUUCCGUGGUCUGCUGGGUUCUGCGGUGGGUUGCUCCUGCCGGUACCACGCUUUCCCUCACCGCCCUUUAUUUUGAUGGCACUGUGCCGGCUGCGGUUUCUAAAUUGGUGUCUCCCUUGUCAUCCAAGCGAGCUAGCAAGCAGCGGAUUAAUCAAAUUAGCUCUACAGAUGCAUUCAAAACACCCGAUUUUGAUGUCACAAAGUUGGUGGGAGGAUUUUCAAUAGCAAGGCUUUUUCUGUUUGGCAAAUACUCUUUGGAGAGCUAGAGACGCCAACGUUCAGAGUGAAGCCCCUUACAGACUUGCUUUGCUGUACUUCUGGAAGUUGAACGUGUGAACAAAUGUCCAAAGAAAAUAGUCAUAAGAUUGUAAAAUAGACCAAUGUCCUGUAAAAAUGUGUGUAGUGGUGGCAGUGUGUAGCAGGGAUCCCCUGGCAAAAUUCUGUGUUGAAAAUCCCCUGUUUGCUAUUGCAGGGUUUAUGGCAGAAGUAUAAAUUUAUCUGAAUGUAGAAGACUUUGUUUGUUUUUGGAAGUGCCCUUUCCUGAUAUACCUGGCUUAAUGCAAAUAAUCCAAAAACUCUCUCUGCAGUUGGAAGAACAAAAGAAAUGGACUGGCCUGGUUUUGGAAGAACAUCUCAUUUUUCAAAAUGGCAAUUCUUUUUUUUUUUUUUUUUUUUUUUUUUUUUUUUUUUUUUUGUGGUUUUUUUUGUUUUUUUUUUUUUUUUUUUUUUUUUUUUUUUUAACUCUCUGGGGAGGCUCCUGGCAGUGCUCCCUCGCACGUGGACGCAGACACUGUUGCAAUCCCAGCGCUGCUGUGCGGAGGACUGUCACCAGUGCAUCGCAUGCCAAAACAUAAAGGGCUGCAAUACCAUCUGUUCAGGCUACCGGAGCCGUGUUAGAAAAGAAAAUCCAUUGCCCUGGCGUAGGGAGGGAAAGCCAGGUCUGCUCUGUCGUAAUUCAAAGGACCGUCGCUUCUGGGGGUUUGAAACAUCCAGGCGGAGAACGGGCAGGAAACCAAGUUACCGUGUAAGUUGUUGAUAAAGUGGAGACCAACUUUUGGGCAUGUGAAACCUUUUAGUUCCCUUGGAGGUUAUCCUUGCUCCGCCAACUGAGGGAAACUUCCAUCUUCCCAUUAAAAU
rnacentral:lncRNA from 1 species